UACGGGGGGGGCAAGCGUUGUUCGGAAUUACUGGGCGUAAAGGGCUCGUAGGCGGCCAACUAAGUCAGACGUGAAAUCCCUCGGCUUAACCGGGGAACUGCGUCUGAUACUGGAUGGCUAGAGGUUGGGAGAGGGAUGCGGAAUUCCAGGUGUAGCGGUGAAAUGCGUAGAUAUCUGGAGGAACACCGGUGGCGAAGGCGGCCCACUGGUCCGGUACUGACGCUGAGGUGCGAAAGCGCGGGGAGCAAACAGG
rnacentral:rRNA from 1 species